UACGUAGGGACCAAGCGUUGUCCGGAAUCACUGGGCGUAAAGAGCGUGUAGGCGGCUUGUUAAGUCUUGCGUGAAAUCUCGGGGCUCAACCCCGAGCGGUCGUGAGAAACUGGCAGGCUAGAGUGCGGGAGAGGAGAGUGGAAUUCCUGGUGUAGCGGUGAAAUGCGCAGAUAUCAGGAAGAACACCCGUGGCGAAGGCGGCUCUCUGGAACGCAACUGACGCUGAGACGCGAAAGCGUGGGGAGCAAACAGG
rnacentral:rRNA from 1 species